rnacentral:rRNA from 1 species
AUAAUGGGUCAGCGACUUAUAUUCUGUAGCAAGGUUAACCGAAUAGGGGAGCCGAAGGGAAACCGAGUCUUAACUGGGCGUUAAGUUGCAGGGUAUAGACCCGAAACCCGGUGAUCUAGCCAUGGGCAGGUUGAAGGUUGGGUAACACUAACUGGAGGACCGAACCGACUAAUGUUGAAAAAUUAGCGGAUGACUUGUGGCUGGGGGUGAAAGGCCAAUCAAACCGGGAGAUAGCUGGUUCUCCCCGAAAGCUAUUUAGGUAGCGCCUCGUGAAUUCAUCUCCGGGGGUAGAGCACUGUUUCGGCAAGGGGGUCAUCCCGACUUACCAACCCGAUGCAAACUGCGAAUACCGGAGAAUGUUAUCACGGGAGACACACGGCGGGUGCUAACGUCCGUCGUGAAGAGGGAAACAACCCAGACCGCCAGCUAAGGUCCCAAAGUCAUGGUUAAGUGGGAAACGAUGUGGGAAGGCCCAGACAGCCAGGAUGUUGGCUUAGAAGCAGCCAUCAUUUAAAGAAAGCGUAAUAGCUCACUGGUCGAGUCGGCCUGCGCGGAAGAUGUAACGGGGCUAAACCAUGCACCGAAGCUGCGGCAGCGACGCUUAUGCGUUGUUGGGUAGGGGAGCGUUCUGUAAGCCUGCGAAGGUGUGCUGUGAGGCAUGCUGGAGGUAUCAGAAGUGCGAAUGCUGACAUAAGUAACGAUAAAGCGGGUGAAAAGCCCGCUCGCCGGAAGACCAAGGGUUCCUGUCCAACGUUAAUCGGGGCAGGGUGAGUCGACCCCUAAGGCGAGGCCGAAAGGCGUAGUCGAUGGGAAACAGGUUAAUAUUCCUGUACUUGGUGUUACUGCGAAGGGGGGACGGAGAAGGCUAUGUUGGCCGGGCGACGGUUGUCCAGGUUUAAGCGUGUAGGCUGGUUUUCCAGGCAAAUCCGGAAAAC